GUACGCAGCGAGAUGUAUCUGUACAUAACUAUAAGUACAGUCGUAAGAGAGCGUUUGCUUGAGGCAGACCGUGUCUCUAACUAUGAGACCAACCUUGUACAUAUUGCAUGACAUUACAUUUUAUUUUAAAACAAACUCAAUAGUUUUAACUUAUCCCAGUCAUUUUUAACAUGGUAGCAGAGCGUGGUUAAUAGUGUGAUCGAUUAAAAUUGAAAAAUAAGUGAAUGAUCAAGAAGAUGCAAGUGAAUACGAUUGUGAAUUUUGCCGUCAUGCGGUGCUUGGCAGGAACACAUGGAAAUUUGAGGAUAUACGACUAAAUGAGUAGAAACAAGAUAAUAUAGUACUCAACGUAAUGAAACACCGAGGAUAUUGAUAAGUAUACUGUAAAUAUCAAGUUGGCGAGGAGGUGCUAUAACCCGAGGCAGCUGGCGAGGCAACAACUCUCGUGGAAGCGGUCAAAGGGGCAGCUACAAUCAAGAAGAAAAUUACCAAAACAACAACUACAGAGGUUAUACUAAUAACAACAAUAGAGGCUACGGCAACUACAGAGGCUACAGCAAUAACAGAGGAUAUAAUAACAACAACAAUCGAGGUUACGGUCAACGAGGAGGUCACCGAGAGUUCAACAAUCAACGAAGUUUUCAACAAGAAGGUCAACACGACGCACGCUAUAGUUAUAAUAAUAGGUAUUACGAUAAUACACCACAGACGUUUUAUUUGCAUGCAAAUAUUGAUGUUAAAAAUUUUAAUAGUAGAGUAAAUUCCAUAAAUCAGAGUCAAAGUACUCAAAUAAAUUGGAUCUUAGAUAGUGGUUGUACAGACCAUAUAAUAAACGAUGAUUCUUAUUUCUCAAAUUUUAAAAGAUUAGAAAAACCAAUUUAUGUAACUAUUGCAGAUGGUAGAAAAAUAAAGUGCGAAAAAGUUGGAAAUAUUAUAACAUCAUUUUAUCAAAAAAGUUUUAAAACAGAAAUAAUUAUGAAAAAUGUUUUUUAUGUAAAAGAAUUGGAUAGAAAUCUAAUAAGUCUAGCUAGAAUUACAAAUAAUAAAAAUUUUAAAAUCUUAUCUCAAGGAAAUCGAUCUGAAAUUUACGAUAGAAACAAUAAUAUAAUUUGUACUGCGUAUAACGAAAAUGGUCUAUAUAAAAUUUCGUCAUAUGUUGAUAAAAGAAAUAUUAGCGUAAAUAAUUCUGGAAUAAUAAGUCAAAAAGAAAAAUUACAUAGGAUUCUUGGCCAUGUAAAUUUUAAUUAUUUAGAAAAACUUUGCAAAUAUGAAUUAAUCGAAGGACUUCCAAAAAACUUAGAAAAAGAAUAUAUGAAAUGUGGAAUUUGUAUCAAAAACAAAAUGCAUAAUUUACGUUUUGAAAACAAUAGAACAAAAGCAACAGAAAUCCUUCAAUUAGUUCAUACUGAC